rnacentral:lncRNA from 1 species
GUUUGUUGACCUUCCGCAUGUUUCUAAUCUUCAUUUGCACGGAAGUCCCUUCCAAAAGUUUUCCAUCUCUAGUGUGCUUUUACAUACCUUGCAGUGACACAUCUUUCCUCUGGCAGCUGUUUCGCUCUGCUCUAGUGCUCUCCUCAUCUUUUAUCUGUUCUCCCUCUUCUCAUAUCACAGCCCGUCACAUGCAGAGCAGCUUAGAAACCAACAGAGUGGCAAAACACAGCAGCUGUCAAGGGCACAGAGCACGACAUUUAGGAAAUGAAGAGGGGAAACUCAAAAUUAUGGACCUCUGCAGGUGA